UACGUAGGUGACAAGCGUUGUCCGGAUUUACUGGGCGUAAAGAGCGCGCAGGCGGUCGUUCAAGUCGAGUGUGAAAGCCCCCGGCUUAACUGGGGAGGGUCAUUCGAUACUGUUCGACUCGAAGGCAGGAGAGGGAAGUGGAAUUCCCGGUGUAGUGGUGAAAUGCGUAGAUAUCGGGAGGAACACCAGUGGCGAAGGCGACUUUCUGGCCUGUUCUUGACGCUGAGGCGCGAAAGCUAGGGGAGCAAACGGG
rnacentral:rRNA from 1 species